rnacentral:sRNA from 1 species
UUUUUCUAAUAAUUUCUGUGCCUUCCUGUCCUGUAUUUAGAAAAAGCAGCUAGAAUAUUUCUCCAUUAACUCUUGAGAUUCACAGGACUGUCUAGCUCUGAGUCCUAGCAAUAGACUCCUUAGAGGAGUAGUAAAUUUAUCUAGACUUUCUCUAGAUAAUGCAGGCGGAAGACCUGUGUUCCCGGGGUGGGGCAUUGCAGUUUUUCCUGUGUUUGGUUUCCAGGAAUUACAUGAACGACAGCCUUCGCACCGACGUCUUCGUGCGGUUCCAGCCAGAGAGCAUCGCCUGUGCCUGCAUUUAUCUUGCUGCCCGGACGCUGGAGAUCCCUUUGCCCAAUCGUCCCCAUUGGUUUCUUUUGUUUGGAGCAACUGAAGAAGAAAUUCAGGAAAUCUGCUUAAAGAUCUUGCAGCUUUAUGCUCGGAAAAAGGUUGAUCUCACACACCUGGAGGGUGAAGUGGAAAAGAGAAAGCACGCUAUCGAAGAGGCAAAGGCCCAAGCCCGGGGCCUGCUGCCUGGGGGCACACAGGUGCUGGAUGGUACCUCGGGGUUCUCUCCUGUCCCUAAGCUGGCCUGGAGUGCAGUGGCGCUAUCUGGGAUCACUGCAAGCUCCGCCUACGAGAUUCUGGUGAGUCUUGUGCCUCACCCUCCCAAGUAGGUGGGAUUACAGGCGCCCACCACCACAGUCUCGCUCUGUUGCCAGUGGAAUCCCCCAAAGAAGGUAAAGGGAGCAAGCCUUCCCCACUGUCUGUGAAGAACACCAAGAGGAGGCUGGAGGGCGCCAAGAAAGCCAAGGCGGACAGCCCCGUGAACGGCUUGCCAAAGGGGCGAGAGAGUCGAAGUCGGAGCCGGAGCCGUGAACAGAGCUACUCAAGGUCCCCAUCCCGAUCAGCGUCUCCUAAGAGGAGGAAAAGUGACAGCGGCUCCACAUCUGGUGGGUCCAAGUCGCAGAGCCGCUCCCGGAGCCGGAGUGACUCCCCACCGAGACAGGCCCCCCGCAGCGCUCCCUACAAAGGCUCUGAGAUUCGGGGCUCCCGGAAGUCCAAGGACUGCAAGUACCCCCAGAAGCCACACAAGUCUCGGAGCCGGAGUUCUACCCGUUCUCGAAGCAGGUCACGGGAGCGUGUGGAUAAUCCGGGAAAAUACAAGAAGAAAAGUCAUUACUACAGAGAUCAGCGACGGGAGCGCUCGAGGUCAUAUGAACGCACAGGCCGUCGCUAUGAGCGGGACCACCCUGGGCACAGCAGGCAUCGGAGGUGAGGCGGGGUUGCAGUGACUGGCGGCCGCAGGCCCUUCCCUGGGGGGUACCUGAUGGCUGCCCUUUGACCCCUGGGUGUGCUCUCUCAGCGCAAGUGGCCCUAGAGCAGGAUUCUUUUUGGAAAUGUCUGUCGACUGGACCUUGGUGGAUUUGGAAAUGGAACUGAGGGACCGGUGACACGUGCUUCAGACCGGUCUGGGGUGUGGCGCACACCUGGGCCCGUGCAGGGCCCAGCUCGGCAGCAGCUCUGAGGGCAGCUCAAUGAAAUAGUGAAUGCACACGCCCUUGUUGGUGUGGCCUGGCAUGGCCUGGCGUGGCCUGGUGCUAUCGGCAGCCGCUCUCCACUCCCUGACUGAUACUCAAUUACGUGAAGCCAAGAAAGACGAUUUUUAGAACCUUUGCCUAUAUUAGGUUGUACUUAUGUACAUAUUUUGCAGUGUUUCACAGGAGAAAAUGGCCUUAAUUGCCCCUUAUUCUCUCUCCACGUUGUAAAUAAACAUGUGUUUAAUACAAGUUAAAGCUAUAUAUGAAAACUCAGAACUUGAAUCCUGUCAGCUUAAAACUUGUGUAGGGAAUCCUGACUUUUAAAAUGUGAGGGUAUUUGGAUCUGUGUUGAAAGUCAUAUAUUUUUAUCUGUGCAGUGCUGAGUGCAGGCCACCAGCUCCUAAAUAGAGGUUCCCUAAAUGCGCGUAUGACAUGGUGAAUAAACACAACUCUCUCCACUCAGGACAUCUGGAACGUUAUGGACGUGGUAGGUGGUCGUUCUGUGUGCUUGUGAAAGUGUCCAGGCGUGUGCACAGCCAGUGCGCCCACUCUAGGGCUCCUUGCUCCCUGCUCUACUAGAGUUUUGGAUUUUGCAUCCAAUCCUGUGUGCCUGCCCUUCUGCUGAAGGCUUGUGAGGGGCCUGAGUCCUCUGCCCAUCAGGAUGACAGGCUCCUUCCUGCAGGGCCAUAGGAGGGAAGUUUUGGAAACAUAGAAUGAUUCCAAAGUGCUCUCGUUCCUGAGGGGGACUGGUUUGUAACCCAUGACAUCUGUGGGCGUGAGAGGCAGCUGGGAGCAGGACACUUGGAGGGUCACCCCAUGGGGGUGGCACCUGCACUCUGAGUGCCCCCCACUGUCAUCAGCUGCCUCUUACCGUGGACACAGGUUUGGUUUUGGGGACUAGGGGGCACCACUCCUGGUGGUACGGUUUGGACUUACUAGGGCAGUGGGGCAUAUAGGCCGGGGCUAGUGGGAUAACGGGGAGUUGUGCCUGAUGACUUUUUUGAUGGAAUCCUGCAUUACAGAGCUGGUGGGACCCCCCCUCAGAAUUGGGGAACUGAGGAGACUCCAGGGAGGGUGUCCUUCCAGGGAGAACAGCUGUGAGGGGCCCCCUAGCUUCCUGUGCCUGGAAGUAAGAGAACCGGUAAAGGGCCAUACACGCCUGUACCCAAGAGACUGCUCUCCAUUUGCUUUCUUUUUUAUUGAAUAAUUGUAAAAUAUUAUUAUGACAUAAAGAACCAUUUAAGGCCA